rnacentral:lncRNA from 1 species
CUGAUAUAGCCCUGAGAUGUGUCUUUGGCCACGUUUUCAGCCUGGCCAUGUAUCUGACCACAUGGUCUUAGACUGGUCAGAGAAACCUGCCAGCAGGUUUCAAAGGAAGAAAAUACAUUUCUUUUCUGUCUUGAGGCAUGAACAGGGAGCUCCUGAGCAACAUGGAGAUUGGAGGCGAUUCUCAGAAAGUAUCAGUGGGGAAAGCACUCUGGACAUCACAGGGGCUUUGGGGAAAAAUCCACACUUUGGAAGGAGCACAGAUAUCACUGAACCAAGCUGCUAUGGAUUUUCAGUUCACGCACAUUAAGAUCAACUCUGUUUUUGACACCCAAAUUUCUCGAUGAAAUCUUCAGAUGGCAAAAAUCAGGAUGACUCCAAUGAAGCUGAUGGCACACUAUCAAUAAACUGAUGUAUCUUAGUCUUUGAUCUUCUACU